rnacentral:rRNA from 1 species
GUGCCAGCCGCCGCGGUAAUACGGAGGGUGCAAGCGUUGUCCGGAAUCACUGGGCGUAAAGGGUGCGCAGGCGGGGCAGCAGGUCGGAGGUGAAAGCCCGUGGCUCAACCACGGAAGUGCCUUCGAAACUGUUGCUCUUGAGUCCCGGAGAGGUUGCCGGAAUUCGUGGUGUAGCGGUGAAAUGCGUAGAUAUCACGAGGAACACCAGAGGCGAAAGCGGGCAACUGGACGGGUACUGACGCUCAGGCACGAAAGCGCGGGGAGCAAACAGGAUUAGAUACCCUAGUAGUCC